rnacentral:rRNA from 1 species
UGGGGAAUAUUGCACAAUGGAGGGAACUCUGAUCCAGCGACGCCGCGUGAGUGAUGAAGGACUUCGUUUCGUAAAACUCUGUUCUAUGGGAAGAAAAGGACUGUACCAUAGGAGAAAGCUCCGGCUAAAUACGUGCCAGCAGCCGCGGUAAUACGUAUGGAGCGAGCGUUGUCCGGAAUUAUUGGGCGUAAAGGGUGCGCAGGCGGCUUUACAAGUUGGAAGUGAAAUCUUGUGGCUCAACCACAAACGUGCAUCCAAAACUGGAAAGCUUGAGUUAAGGAGAGGUAAGUGGAAUUCCUGGUGUAGCGGUGGAAUGCGUAGAUAUCAGGAGGAAUACCGGUGGCGAAGGCGACUUACUGGACUUAAACUGACGCUCAGGCACGAAAGCGUGGGGAGCAAACAGG